GCGGAAGUGGCGGAACUGGCAGACGCACCAGCUUGAGGGGCUGGCGAGCCAAUGGCUCAUGGGGGGUCAAAUCCCCCCUUCCGCACCA
rnacentral:tRNA from 1 species